rnacentral:tRNA from 1 species
UCGGGGAUCGUCUAAUGGUAGGACAGCAGCCUUUGAAGCUGUUUAUCCUAGUUCGAAUCUAGGUCCCCGAGCAA